GCAUGAAAACGGAAACAAGAAGUAUGCCGGCUCACUGUGCUGCAUACAAUUACACACUACGUCGUACGAUUGAGACAAGGAAACUUGGAAUGACUUUUCAUAGGUUUCCCAGAGACUAUGGGUUGAGGAGGAAUUGGAAGUUUGUCGGCUUAGACCUGGUGUCAUUCCAUCAGUGUUAAACUUCCCGGCUCAUCUUGGAAGAGUACGUGCCAGAAAGACCACGACCAAGCAGCCUUGAGAUCUUAGACAGCGUCUCCCUGAGGUCCCUCUCUAUCUCCCCACACAUCCACCAACCACUGGAACACAUCUCCAAAGUUCUGCUGGACCAGCUCAGCUUCCCCUCAGAAGAAGUGCUGCCACCUGCCAGAUGAAGGAGCCUUUUGAGAGGCAGCUGGCAUCGUGAUUGGACUGUACUUUGGUCUGUUCCAAUCCAGCUUCAGCUCCAGAGACGGCAGGCGGGACGAGUCAACGGAGGCCUGGUGGACGAAGGCAUGCAGCUGAGUACAAUCCAGAAAACAACAGAGGAGGAGUGCAGCAGCCCAGAGCCAGAACAACCAGAGUAGCAUCGUAUGUCUCUUAGAAAACAUCAUAGUAUAGCCUUUGGUAUGAAAAAAACGCCAUCAUAUACAUCGUAUAUUGUACAAAUAACAAGUCAAAGGAAAGAGACAUACAUUGUAGAAUUGUAGUAAUUGUGGGCUGACUGAUUUACUGAUUAUCAGUAUUUUAUUUUUUACUGAUUUACGGUAAUAAAUACAUUUAAAAAUGGUG